rnacentral:rRNA from 1 species
GACGAACGCUGGCGGCGUGCUUAACACAUGCAAGUCGAACGGAAAGGCCCUGCUUGCAGGGUGCUCGAGUGGCGAACGGGUGAGUAACACGUGGGUGAUCUGCCCCUUAUUUUGGGAUAAGCCUGGGAAACUGGGUCUAAUACUGGAUAGGACCAUGCUGUAGGUGGUGUGGUGGAAAGAUUAGUUUCGGUAAGGGAUGAGCUCGCGGCCUAUCAGCUUGUUGGUGGGGUAAUGGCCUACCAAGGCGUCGACGGGUAGCCGGCCUGAGAGGGUGGACGGCCACAUUGGGACUGAGAUACGGCCCAGACUCCUACGGGAGGCAGCAGUGGGGAAUAUUGCACAAUGGGGGCAAGCCUGAUGCAGCGACGCCGCGUGGGGGAUGACGGCCUUCGGGUUGUAAACUCCUUUCAGCCAUGACGAAGCCCUUGUGGUGACGGUAGUGGUAGAAGAAGCACCGGCUAACUACGUG